UCUCUCUCUCUCUCUCUCUCUCUCUCUCUCUCUCUCUCUCUCUCUCUCUCUCUCUCUACUAAUUGGGGAGUUAGUUAUAAGUAUCUUUUGCCAGGCCAUGUUGCUGAAAAUGGGGGAAGGGUGGGAAGUGGUCGGGGCAGAGGAACAAAGACUUGGGGAGGAGCAACUUAAAGCAGCAGGUGAGGGGUUAGAGACCAAGAGCCCUGAAUCAUAAAAGGCUUAGGGUAGUUUUUGAGAGUCUGAAGGUCAGUUUGAACCCUGUUUGACCCCAACCAUGACCAGAACCAUCAGAGGGGUUGUGUUCUAUAUAUGAGGGCCUCUCUUAGGUUUGUAUUGUGCUUGCUUUGGCAGCACAUAUACUAAAAUUGGAUCGAUACAGAGAAGAUUAGCAUGGCCCCUUGGGGGAAGAUAUUGCCCAUUCUUCUCUGUCCAAGGAGGAGGGAAACGGGGGGGUUUUGCUGGGUGAGAGGAGGAGUUUGGCAGCUGCUGUGUGUGUCAACAAUGCAUAUUAAGUAGCCAUGUGCACCAGGUCUAAACAGUGAUGACAAUAGACACAGAGGCCCAGUCUUGGAGUUUUAAUGAAAGACAAUUAUUAUUGCAAUUUAAAUCCAAUGAACAAAUGUCAGCAAUCUUUACAAAUCGAAUAACACACAGUAAUUAAUGUAAUGUUACAGUAUAUAUAUAUAUAUAUUAUAUUGUGUGUGUGUGCAUUCAUACAGGCUCUAUCUAUUUCUUUUAACAGUCAUGUGUAUGUAUAACAUUGGCGCUAGUGCAUCUUGGCCCGACCUGUGGACAGAAAUGUCUAUACUAGCAAAAGGUUCAUCACUAUCCUGUCUGUCUGUCUUUGCUAUACAGUCCUUUAAUUGAACUAUGUAAAUAAAAUGUUAAUGUGCUAAUUAAAA